GCUCCAAUAGCGUAUAUUAAAGUUGUUGCAGUUAAAAAGCUCGUAGUUGAACUUCACACCUGGCUGGGCGGUCUGCCUAACGGUAUGUACUGUCCGGCUGGGUCUUACCUCUUGGUGAGCCGGCAUGCCCUUCACUGGGUGUGUCGGGGAACCAGGACUUUUACCUUGAGAAAAUUAGAGUGUUCAAAGCAGGCUUAUGCCCGAAUACAUUAGCAUGGAAUAAUAAAAUAGGACGUGCGGUUCUAUUUUGUUGGUUUCUAGAGUCGCCGUAAUGAUUAAUAGGGAUAGUUGGGGGCAUUAGUAUUCCGUUGCUAGAGGUGAAAUUCUUGGAUUUACGGAAGACUAACUAUUGCGAAAGCAUUUGCCAAGGAUGUUUUCAUUAAUCAAGAACGAAGGUUAGGGGAUCGAAAACGAUCAGAUACCGUUGUAGUCUUAACAGUAAACUAUGCCGACUAGGGAUCGGGCGAACUCAAUUUGAUGUGUCGCUCGGCACCUUACGAGAAAUCAAAGUCUUAGGGUUCUGGGGG
rnacentral:rRNA from 1 species